rnacentral:rRNA from 1 species
UACGGAGGGGGCUAGCGUUGUUCGGAAUUACUGGGCGUAAAGCGCACGUAGGCGGCGAUUUAAGUCAGAGGUGAAAGCCCGGGGCUCAACCCCCGGAAUAGCCUUUGAGACUGGAUUGCUAGAAUCUUGGAGAGGCGAGUGGAAUUCCGAGUGUAGAGGUGAAAUUCGUAGAUAUUCGGAAGAACACCAGUGGCGAAGGCGGCUCGCUGGACAAGUAUUGACGCUGAGGUGCGAAAGCGUGGGGGAGCAAACAGG